CUUCCUGUGAGGGCUCUCACUUGGUGCCAUUGAGAGCUUUUGGUGGCCUUUGGUGUGCCUGGCGGCUUUGGCGGACUUUGGCGGUGGAGCUCUGUAGCGUGGUUUAGGUGAGGCACUUUGCCUGAAUGGCCACUUGCUCCUGAUGGUAUUUUUAAAUCAUCCAAGGAAUAAUGCUGAACUGACUUCAGAAGAGAGACUCUAUGAAGUUAAGAGGAGCCUCUCUCCCGACCUUUCAAAUCGUACAAGAACCUGGCCCAUUGCACAGUGCAGAGGACUGACAAUAAGCCAGACCAAACCCAGUCACAUAACUCAAACAGAAAUGUUAUUUGCUAACAAGGUGUUUCAUAAACAAGCUCUUGCCAUUUCUGGCUUCUAAUCUAUUAUGUUAUCUACUUUUUCAUCAUGGUGGACCUUGUCUGAGCCUUGAGGAUCCCUGGUGACAUUGGCUGGAGAGCCAGGAGUUCUGUGCAGAAGAAGAAAGAAUAAAACUGUACUUCCUCUGGAAUCCA
rnacentral:lncRNA from 1 species